GGCGCUCUAGCUCAGAUGGUAGAGCACCGGACUGAAAAUCCGGGUGUGCCCGGUUCGAUUCCGGGGGGCGCCACCA
rnacentral:tRNA from 2 species